rnacentral:lncRNA from 1 species
GCAAACUUAGAAGCAAACUUUGUUUCACUUAGGCAUAUAUUUAGUAUUUUAAAGUGGUAAUCGCUUCGCAUUGGAGUGUUACCACAAUUGUGUAAUCAAGUCUGUGAUUGAGUCUGUAAUCGAGUUUUGAGCACUUCGGAAGGAAGUUAAUCCUGCCGCCAUUUUCAUUUCUGCUUUGCAAUUUAUUCAACCCUCCGAUUGGAGCAGGUUUUUAUUACUUGUC